CCUACGGGAGGCAGCAGUGGGGAAUAUUGGGCAAUGGACGCAAGUCUGACCCAGCAACGCCGCGUGAAGGAAGAAGGCUUUCGGGUUGUAAACUUCUUUUAGGGGGGAAGAGCAGAAGACGGUACCCCUUGAAUAAGCCACGGCUAACUACGUGCCAGCAGCCGCGGUAAUACGUAGGUGGCAAGCGUUGUCCGUAUUUACUGGGUGUAAAGGGCGUGCAGCCGGAGAGACAAGUCAGAUGUGAAAGCCACGGGCUCAACCCGUGAACUGCAUUUGAAACUGUUUCCCUUGAGAGUAGGAGAGGUAAUCGGAAUUCCUAGUGUAGCGGUGAAAUGCGUAGAUAUUAGGAAGAACACCAGUGGCGAAGGCGGAUUACUGGACGAUAACUGACGGUGAGGCGCGAAAGCGUGGGGAGCAAACAGGAUUAGAUACCCUGGUAGUC
rnacentral:rRNA from 1 species